UACGUAAGUGGCGAGCGUUAUCCGGAAUUACUGGGCGUAAAGCGUGCGCAGGCGGUUUUGUAAGACUGUCGUGAAAUCCCCGGGCUCAACCUGGGAAUGGCGAUGGUGACUGCAAGGCUAGAGUUUGGCAGAGGGGGGUAGAAUUCCACGUGUAGCAGUGAAAUGCGUAGAUAUGUGGAGGAACGCCGAUGGCGAAGGCAGCCCCCUGGGUCAAAACUGACGCUCAUGCACGAAAGCGUGGGGAGCAAACAGG
rnacentral:rRNA from 1 species